rnacentral:tRNA from 1 species
UGGGGAUGUAGCUCAGUGGUAGAGUGCUUGCCUAGCUUGUAAGAGUCCCUGGGUUCAACCCCCAAUCCUACAA